rnacentral:sRNA from 1 species
UCGAAAGACAUUCAUUCAAGAGAUCCUAACGUGAUUAUCGUAAAUAGCUGGAAUUGUAGAUAUUUACAAUGACAUAGAUCAUUUUUCUUCGACGUAAUUACGGCCUAAUGUCGAGACAAGAAUAAUAUGACGCUGAUCUGUGUUUUGACAAGAAUAUGAAUGAUCUUAAGAAAAGGCUUCGCUGAAUCAAUUGGAAGACAGCGUCUUCAAUUGUCCUACUAAAUUCUUUACGGAUGACAUCUGGGUCUGGGGAGAUCAUGCAAAAAAAUAAGACAUCAUUUAUAACUUUCAACCUUCCGCUCACAGGACAAAUUCUCGAAGACGCUACGAAAAGAUGCUGAGCUUGAUCAUAAUUCUUCAGGCUCCCAAUUCAAGAAUACAAUUACUUAGCGUGGGUGCUUCUGCUCAGUCUUCGUUUCCUAUCUCCACAUACGAAUCACUCACUUGUUACUCAUUCGAAUAAUUUACUGCUGUAAGGAGUCGUACCGCCAACUAAAUCUGAAUAACAAUUUGGCUGCUAGAAGUCAAAAAAUAGGCGCUGCAAUGAUUAUGUGGUAUGAUCAGAUUGUGUCGCAACAUUCAGCGGGGUUUUGACUCAAUGGGACCGCUGCUAAUAAAGUGUUUAACUAGCGAAUUUUGGAACACACCCGUUGACAAAAGUAUAAGGAGUCUCUUUCCGUGAGUUCCCCUCUUCCUCUCACUGCACUUCAACUAUGCCUUAUAGCAACCAAGAAGCUAGAAAAUGCCAACUAUUAAAAAGAUAACCUCUUUGGAAUCAAAUAAAACGGAGAUUAUCUUGGGAUCUAUUUCACAAAUUUACGGCUAAUUGGAAUGAACAGCGCCAAGUAGCACUGGACAAACUGCAGAGAGUAUUAGAACUUGCUUUAUUCCGUAUACCGUACUUUAUAUGGUCGUCAGUUUUACCACUUCGGUACGCAAAUGAAAAUAAAAAGCUCAUUCACAACUUAGACACAAUUUCGCCGUUUACAAGUAGCUGAAAAGUCCAUCUAUCGAAUUAUGAAUGAUACUAUUUUAAAUAUCGUCGUUACUGCACUCGUUUUCCACGUUCUUUUUAUCCACACAUCCGAUGUUUUAUUUACAGUUGAGCAUCUCAGGGCCAGCGACAAAUAUAAACAUAUUAUACUCAAAAUGAAGCUCGUUGAAAAGAGAAUAUUUCUUAACCUCUUUUACAGUGCUUUCAACACCUUUUCACCUGUGUGCCAUGUCAGAUUAAGGAUGCUCAACUUUUCGAAUUAUUAUUACAAAUUUCAAAGAAAUUACUAGUCCUUUUUGUCCCCUAAUGUAUCCCUCAUUUCAUACCGUCGUUUUGGGGUUCCAACUACGUAUAGCUUUCAAGUGUGGUUUUACGGUAAGAACAACCCCCCAUCGGUUGGUGCGGAAUACUUUCCUAUUCUCAUCGAGAGCCGAGCCAUACACCUAAGGUGGACAGAAAGCUAAAAUUCCAAAACAGAAAAAUCUAACAUCUUUGCUCCCUUACAAGUAGGAACGCUGGCGUAUCAACCCGUCUCCAGAUUUGCCCAGCAUUUCUGUAGAACACCCAAUGCGAAUGAAGACUAAUGAAUAUUGUAAAGACAAAAAAUAGGAAAAGUUUAAUUAGUGAUGGUUCUCACCACCCCAAAACGGUCACUUGCAUGCAUUGAGGACAUGCACCUGCAGUACUUGUUUUUCUCGAAUGUUUUUACCAUCUCUUUUUUCCUUAUCUGAGCUACUGACGCAGACGGACAUUGUUUCAUAUUUCGAAAGCUGUGCGGGAAAACGGACCCUAACACGAAUGUGAAUGCGCUAAUCAGUAUUUCCACCACAUGAAACCUGCUACUUUUUCAGUCCUCUUCGUAUGCAUUUCCCAAAAUUCAUUCGUAGCCUUGUCAACUUAGACUCAGUUCCACGGCGUGCAGGACGGGGUAUUAUGAAUAAAAGGAUCCACGGGUGAGAUUUGUUCUGUGUUUUAGGUAUGGAGUUUUGUACCACAAAACUUUAGGAAUACCGGAUUUUGUGCCUACGCCAGCCCCAGAGUAUGUUCUCACAGCUGUAAUUCCUAGUGAUCUUUUCCUGGCUCCAAUAGGAACGCCGGUAGGCAAAUUAAACUUUCGCGGCAGGAAAAAAAAGGCUUUUUCUUUUUUGCCUUUCAGUUUCUCGGAAUGUGGCAUUACAUAAGCAUAAUCCUUUUUGGGUGUGCCUGGAAAGUUCAAAUUAAGGUUUUUUUCUUCUGUUUUCUUGACAAGAAAAUGUCGCCCAAAGAGUUUCGGCCGUUAUUUUCCUAUCGAAGUGGGUCCUUUUUGUCUUUAGUCCUUCUCUGGGGCUAGCGAUCACUGCAAAAUUAGGCUUCACUGGUACGAGUUAACUUUUUUUCUUUUUUUUUGUCAUCCUUUUCUUUGGGGCUAAGAAUGGACUUCCCUUUUCUUUUUCUUUGUUGCAGCAGUGGCUUCAAAGAACUGCUGAUUGCUCAAGGCAAUCAGUCCGAGCGUUUAGAAGGUGAUUGUAGGCAGAAAUUAACUUUGCGGUAAAAGAAUGACAUUCUUUCUUAAAAGAAAAAUUAGCUUUUUUUUGUCAGGCAUUGCACAAACUUUUUUAUUUCUGCCUAUACUCUUAAACAGAUCAGUCAUUCAUGUUGUCUUUUUAACGGUCGUACUGGGACAUCGCAUGCCUUGGGAUUCCGUAAUUAGGUGCAACAAUACGGGCACAACUCAUUCUGCGCUAUCUUCACGGACAGAACUUCUAUUGCCUAUCGGUGGUGUGAUUAACAAUUGGAAGCGCAGAGCUUGGAAUGGAUUUUCAAUUCAAUGGAUUUGGAGGUAUUCGUUUGUUUACUAAUAUUUACUUUGAGGACAUUGCCCAACCCUAAAAGUGCCUGUUCCAGAAUAGAAUAACAUUAUGAUACGUUUUCUUGACCGCUGAGCAAUUUAAAGCAAUUAUUAGGGUACGAUUGUUUCUAGAGAAAUGUGGGUCAUCUUUUUAGGUCCGUUCUCUUCUGAUGAGGUAACCUUUACAAAAAUGUCAUAGAGUUACCAAUUGGGAUUCAAGGCAUCAUCGCAAUAUACUUCGUUCUUUUACGGAGAAAUUAAGCUCUUUCUACUUUGAAUUAACUGUUAGACUUGUCUUAUCUGAGGAAUGUCCGUGUUCAAAUUAAAUAAAAAUUUAGGGCAGUUUUAUUUACCUUAACAAAUAUGUUCAAGCAUGUACGU